rnacentral:rRNA from 1 species
GUCAGCAACCAUAUCACCCUGCAGCUCUCAACUGGCUACCCACUGAAGCUCAGUAGGGUUGAGCCUGGUCAAUACCUGGAUGGGAGACCUCCUGGGAAGCUAUGGUUGCUGCUGGAA